rnacentral:lncRNA from 1 species
UUUCACAUUAUAGUUAAAUCUAACAUUGAAUUUCCUAACUCACCUUUGUAUGCCAGGAUAUAUUAGAAACAAUUUUAAAACAUGUCAGAGAUAUUACCUUUGUCAUGGCGCUCAAGCCUGACUUGGAAGACACAUAGGCUACUCCUCCAGGUAACUGUCCCCGAUUAAGAGCAGCAAUGGAAGAAAUAUUGAUGAUUGAUCCUCCAUUCUUGGCAUCCCUCAUGCGCAUACCGACAUAUUUUGACACCAACCAUGAUCCCGUCAAGUUUGUCUUCAGAGUAUUAUUCCAUUCCUCCUCAGAUAUAUCCAGAGGAGAGUUCACAUUGCCUAAGGCACACAGGGCACAGGGCAUGGGUUAAAUACAUCUACCACGCAUUACGUUCACAAAUAUUAGCAGAACACCAGAGAUAAAUUAAAUGAGUAAUAUUGAUAAGAAAAAUAUAUGUGAUUGACUCGGUAUAGAUACCCAGUUGACUCGCUAAUCUUUUUCAUUAAACAAAUAGUUUCAAAUUUCAGUUCGAACUGAAUGAAAUGAAACGUGCGCUAGAAUUGAAAGUAUGAGAAAAACAAGGUUUCCAAAAGCCAGCUGCAAAACGGGAAAUUCAGGAUACAGGAAUAUCAGGAUCGUGCAAAACCCCAUAAAUUCAAAAAUUGAAAACCAUGAAACGAGAAAUCAGGUAAAUUAAUACUAUACCCUACAUAUUCACCCCUUAGAUGAUUGAAAUUUUAAUUUCGUUUCUUCAUUCAGAUUUCGCGUGAACCAAACGGCAGGUAGAAGUGCUCAAAGAAAAAAAAAUCAAAAUUGCCUCAGUCCGUUGCAUUCCUAAAAUAUCAGAACCUCAUCAACCACAAGAUUCCAAAUUCCCUUUCCUUUUUUCCAAACAGAAACUAAACUCUUUUCCAAAGUCAAAUCAAAAUUUACCUCUAAUGCCCGCAUUAUUUAGCAAAGCAUCGAUACGUCCAAAGGCCUCCCAAGCCUUCUGAACGGAGGCGCCGAUUGAGGAGCCAUCGCUGGUGACGUCAAGUUCGACUGCUACGGCUCGGAGAGGCGGAUCAGCGUUUGGAGGAAGGUUCGAGUGGGUGAGGUUGUUGAUCUCGUCGCAGAGAGACUUGAGUCGGUCAACUCGGCGGGCGGCCGCCACGAUCUUGCAGCCGGCUUUGGCGAGGUUGAGGCAGAACUCGCUGCCGAGACCCGAGGAAGCGCCGGUGACCAUGACCACCUUGCCCUCCAGGUCUUGCCAUGGCUCGAGGUGGUUCGCGACUUGGGACGCCAUCAAUGUGGUUGAGAGUCUCUAGAGAAAGUAGGCACCAGCUUUUAGAGGGAAAAAAAGUAAAGCAAAGAAAAUUUGAUAAGAUGAAAAUAAAUAAUAAAUAAUUAAAAGGGGAAAUAAACUCCUCUAUAUAUUCUAUUGCGACAUUGCGUGAUCAAAUUCCAUUUGUUUAUGUAUCGCCUUUGUAGUGAAUCUAGUGAUGAUGCCAUCGGAUUGUUUGCAGUGAAUUGUCGGAAUUGUUUUUAGUCAUUCUAAUAAUUAAAAAUAAAAAUUUUCAAAUAUUAAAAAUUAAAAAAUUUUAAAUAUUAAAAAUGUUAAAAACGCUUCCUAUAAUAAUUGUUAAAUAGACUCUAAGAGUAUAUUUGAAAGUAAUUCUAAAAAAUAUUUUUAGUAUUUUUAUUAAUGUGUUUUUAAGUAUUAAAAAUAUUAAAAAUACUUUCUAAAAUCACUAUCAAACUAAAAGUGCAUUUAAAAGUAAUUUUAAAAAAUAUUUUUAACAUUUCUAAUACUUAAAUAAUAAAAAACUUCAAGUGUUAAAAAAAUUUAAAACAUUCCAUAAAAUCACUACCAAAUAGAGUCUAAGUUUGUGAAGGGAUCAACACUUAAUAAGUCAUAUUUUAUUAUACAUCUUUCUAAAAUUAGUAUUAAGAAACCAAUUUUUCAGUGUCCAAUAAUUUUCCCUAUUGGUAUAAUUUUCUAAUUACGUAAAAUAAAAAUGGUCAUCAAGGGAAAAUAAUUUUUGAGAACAAACUUUUGCUUAUGAUUUUUUUAUUAUUACUCAAAAAGAGCAUAUUUUAUAUAAUAAUUAUCACGAAUUUCAUAUCUUUUGAGUAGUAACUAUACCUAAAACACUCAAUUAACAUGUUUUUACUUUUGCAAGAAUUACUAAAAAGUCUUAUGAAGUUUUGGGGUAAUUUCAAGGUAUGUUUUUUAUAAAUAGGUGACAAAAGAGAUGAAUCAAAUUAAAGAAAACAAAUAAAGUUGAUGAUGAUCCAAAUGCAUAAUGAAAGAGGCAAUCCAAUCAGUUUGGAUUGGGAUUUGGAGGUAGUUGAAGUGGAAUCAAAAUGAAGAAAUGAGAGAAAUUGCAAAAAGAAGUUGAAAAACCAUGUUUUUCAAUUUCACAUAAACACGAGAAAAAUUCGCACAGUCAUGCAAAUUGAAAUAGAAUGGACUUUGGCUGCAGCACACAAGGGGAAAAGUGAAAAUUGAUUUCGCAUGACCAUACGAAACGCUCCAAGAAGACGAAAAUGGUGCUGAUGGAUUUUCCACUUCGCACAAUCGUGCGAAAUUGUUGGAGCUCAUGCGAAAUUGUUGGAGCUCGUGCGAAAUUGCAUCUUUUCCAAAUUUCUUGAUGAAAAAGUCUCCGGAAGACCUUUUAGAUGAUGCCAAGUGUCCACUUGACCUUGGCCUAUAAAUAGAAACUUGAUUUACUCAUUUAGGGAUUUUUGAUACAUUUCCUAAUUGUAGAAUUUUCCAAAUUUCUUCUCUCUAUAUAAUUCUCUACUUUCCUUCAUUUUCUCUCAUUUUCUCGGUAGCCAAACAUGUCUUGUGAGAUCAAAUCUCAAAGUAUGAGUGGCUAAAUCUUGUUUUUCUUGGAAGAGAAAGGAUAUAGAGAUAAGAUCUAUGGUGAAUUAGAGAAAUGAGAUUAAAUUGCAAAGGUAAUUUGAUCCAAUUGAUUGAUUAAUUGAAAUUUUGAGAUUUUUCUCUUCAAAUUGUCUUGGAUGAUUACGACAAUGUAAGUUAGGUACAUUCAUCAAAUUCUUAAAGUUAGAUUUGAUGAGAUUGAAUAGUUACAUUGUGUGAAUCAUUGGCAGAUAAUUUAAGAUGAAUUGAAUAUAUGAUUUGAAUUGAUCUCUUAGAUUAAACGACCUAAUUUGAAGAGAAAUUAGAUCUAAACCUAAAGUCAAAUCAAAAAUCGGUUUAGAUGAAAAUUUAGGUUUUCAAUCUAACUUGAUGAAAAUUAGAUCUCAACAUCUAUUCACCAUGGAAAUUGUUUUCUAGAAAAUCCUAACUCCGAGAAUUUUAUCUCCUAUUAAUUUUCUUUUAUUUUACAUUUUAUUUUUCUUCUCAAUUUUAGACCAUUGUCAAAUUAAUUUUUCAUCAUGAAUUUUCAAAUCAAUUUCACUUGAUCACAAUCAUUUCUUAUCCUUUCAUUCAAGCCUUAAUUACCGAGAAUAAUCCAUCCUAGUGGACGACACCUAAAAACCACUAUAUUACAGUAGUUUGUACUAAAAUUGUUUUUAAUCGGGUACAAUCUACUUUAGAAUAGUGAAUUAGGUUAUAAAUUUUGUUUUGAUCAAAUAAAUGACAAAAAUCUAAGCGAUCAAUUUUGUAUAUAAAAAAUAAUUUUUUUCACUUAUUCUCGAUAAAACUUAUAAUGUAAAAGUUUUCAAAAUAUUUUUUUAAUAUUUUUUCUUUAUUUUUUGAAAAAUUUUGAUAAAUAAAAUAUGAAAAUACUUUUAAAUUAUUUUUAAAAUAACCUAUUUUCACAACAACAUUUUGAAAAAAACUUUUUUUAUUUUCUCAAAAUUUGGUCAAAUAUAUUCUCUAAGUUGGAGAGUGUCUAAUAUCCUUGUAAAUGUAUUUGGACAAAGUUUUGGAUUUUUAUUAUUUACUUUUGCUUUUAACAGCAAAACUCACUUUAAAAAUCCAAAAAAUAAAAUGAGUUUGGAAAACAAAAUCCAAACUUUAAUCAAAUUUAAAUCCUUUAAUUUUCUCAUUUGUUAAAAGAAUCUCAUAUUUUAUGCCAUUGAUGAAUAAGAAAAAACUUCUUACAUCUCUUAUAAGAAUCAUCUAUCAAUAUUUGAGUAUAUUUUUUUUUAGUGAUGCAUGGUGUUAAUUGAUUGAACUAAAAUUGUAUAAUAAAACCUGUCAAUAGGGAUGACAAUUUAGACACGACACGAUAAUGCAAUUUGAAAAUGAUUGGAUUGUUAAUGUGUUUGGGUUUGCAUGUGAUUGUGUUGUGUCUUAAUAAACAUGUCUUAUUUGGGUUUUCAUUAUUCACCUUGUUUAUGAUUUAUUUGCUUAAUUGUAUCAAAAUAAUUUAUUUAAUCCAUAUAAAUUUAAUAAUUUUAUACAUUCCAAUUAUAAAAAUAAUAAAUACUUUGUUAAUUAUAAAUAUCAUAUAGUAAAAACAUUAAAUAACUAAAUAAAAUUACAUUUGAUUAGUAAGAUUAAAAAUAGUUUAUAGUUAAAAUUUUAAAUAAAAUAAUAAGUAAAUGUAAAAAUUAAAAUAUUAUCCUACUUUUUAUAUUAUGAUCAAAAUUAAAUAAUUACAUUAAUUAAGAUUAAAAAUUAAAGCAAAUGAAAAGUAUUUUAGAAUAAUAUAUUUAUAAAGUUAAAUUCCAAAAUAGGUUAAACGGGUUAUAAUCAUGUUAACUAGUUAAAAUCAUACUAAUGGAUUAUUAUGUCCGAUUUAACCCAUUUAUUAAAUGAGUUAAAUGGGUUGUAUUGAGUUACCUAUAUAAUAAAUGAGUUGUGUUUAUGUUGAAUGUUUCCGACAUGAUUAUUAAAUAAGUCAUAUUUAAAUUAAAUAAAUUUUUACUAUUUUUUUUUUACUUUGAAGACAUUGCCAUCCCUACUUGCUCACAUGCAUUUAAACAAAAAAAUCUUGUAAUUUUCUCUCCAAUCCUUAUCAUUUUUCCCAUCGGCAAGUUCCCUAUUAGGAAAAGAAAUUCCUUGUAUACAUCUCUCAUCCCCAUUCAUGGUCUUUGAAUUCAUAUUUAAAAUUUUCAAAUAUAUAUAUAUAUAUAUAUAUAUAUAUAUAUAUAUAUAUAUAUAUAUAUAUAUAUAAACUAAUAUAUUUUAUAGUGAAUAUGAUAAUUUUUAAAAAAAUAAAUAAAUAUAAAAUUAUAUAUAAAGAAAUAUAUUUAAUAUUAUAUGUAUAUGGUUUGGGUGGGUUUUGGAUAGGGAAUAGUUUCAUUUCCCUGGUCGAGGUUCCCCAUCCCUAAUCCGACUCCAUUAGGGAUGGAUUCCCCAGGGGCACAACUUGGCUGGUUUUUUAUGCCAUCCUUGCUGGAGGGUGGGUUGGGAACUGUUGCCCAAAGCAUGGCCCAUGGGCCCCAACAUUGGCAAAAUCUUGAAACCCUUUAAGAUUAAGCUUGUUAUCUGUUUAUGUAUAUGUGCCGCCAUUUAGAUUGCAGGCCUAAAAAACUUAUAUAGUUUAUGAAGACAUGACCCAACAGGCCCAUCGGGCCACUUGUAUUCCUCUUUAACUUGACACCAAAAGCGCAUUUGGUCGGGUUGAGCUUCAUAUUGUAUGCUUUCAUUAGGCAAAAUGUUUCCUCUAAGUGUAGGACGCGUUUGCUCUGGGUUUUGUUUUUUACCACAAUAUCAUCAAUAUAGACUUCUACGGUUCGGCUGAUCAAGGGUUUGAAGAUUUUUGUCAUCAACCUUUAAUAAGUGGUUCCAACAUUCUUAAGCCCAAAUGGCAUAACCCUAUAGCAGUAUAAUCUGUGCAGCAUCACGAAGGCGGUUUUCUUUUCAUCCGGUUGGAACAUCGGGAUCUGGUGGUACCCGGAGAAUGUGUCUAUGAAAGAGAGCAUCUCAUACAUGGUAGUGGACUCAACUAUCUGAUCUAUUCGAGGUAGAGGGAAGCUAUCUUUCAGGCAAGCAUCAUUCAGGUUGGUGUAAUCAACACAGACUCGCCACUUUCCUCCUUUCUUUGGAACAACCACUACAUUCGCCAACCAAUCCAGAUAUUAUACUUCCUUGAUAAACCCGAUUGUCAGCAACUUGUCCACAUUGAAUUGGAUGAUCUUUUGCUUGUCUGGAUGGAAGCGUCUGACUUUCUGGCAAACGGGUCACGAGGAAGGUAUGAUAUUGAGUCGAUGUAAGGCUACCGAUGGAUGGAUUCUGGGCAUAUCAAAGUGAGUCCAUGCGAAAACAUCCUUGUUCUACUAAAGCACUCCUUCGAGUAAUUUUAAUUCUUUUAGUGCUAGGAGAGAGCUAGCAUAGGUAACACGAUCACUGCUACCUGAGAGAUGCAAGGGUUGGAGCGAGUCUGCUGCUGACAGAUCUUUUUUCGUCAGGCUCUGUAAUUGCUAUUGCUCCUUCGUAUUUGUCAGUCUCGUGUGUGGCUCACUGUUGCUUGGGAGUCCGAAAUUGAGUACCGCUUGAUAGCACUAGCACGUAGCCAACUUACUACCAUAAAGGUCGAUUUGUCCGUCCUCGGUGAGGUAGCUUACCAUCUGAUGAUACGUAGAGGGAAUGACUUUCAUGUUGUGAAGCCACGUGCGCUCCAUGAUGGUGUUAAAAUGGGAUAAGUCCUCUACUAUCGAGAACUGCACAUUCUGGGUGAUCAUACCAACUUGGACGGGUAAUACGAUGUCACCUAAAGACGUUGUCGUUGUCCCAUUGAACCAAAUAAUAUCUGUUUUGGGUUUUCUAGGGCAAUCGGCAGGAGUCUCAUUUGUUUGUAUGACGACAUUUGCAAGAGGUCAACUGAGCUGCCCAGAUCAACCAAAAUCCUUCUUACAUCAAACCCAUUUAUCCCUAAUGUUAGAACUAGGGCGUCUUCAUGUGGUUGUAGUACUCGGUUGGGGUUUACUGGAGGGAAGGUUAUUAUCCCGUCCAUUAGGCAUGCACCUUGAUUACUACUCAAAAAGUGUUAUUUCAUAGCUUGUAAUUAACUCUUUUAAACACUUUUGAGUAGUAGUUAUUGCCUUUUAACCCAAUUAACAUGUUAAGGACCCUUGCAAUCACUUCUAAUCAAUUUGUGUUAAGUUUUGGUGUUUUGAUAGCUUUUUUAUCACCAAAGCAAUCCGAGAUUGAGGAGAGUUAUUUGGAAUCUAUGGCAAAGCAAUGGAAAGCUCAGAAACAUGAAGAACCAAAGCUUUGAAGUCCUUUGUCAUAAGCAAAUCCGGAAUGCAAGGAGGAGAAGCAAAGAGAAAUCUGCCAUGAAGCAUUCUUGAUGAUAGCCAUGUCAGCCACUUUUAGAGCACUUCCUGAAGUCUAAUUUAUGCAUGCUAUAUGUCGUUUCGAAGCUCAGGAAGUCAACAAUCCAAUGCUUCAAAUGGUGUUCAAUUUGGAGUUGAAAUGAAGGAAUUACAGCCAUUACAAGUUGAUCACUCUAAGUUGAAGGAAGAAUUUUGCACAGCGCUGCGAAAUCACCCUUUUGUUGCGAGAUGAUUUCGCAGCCUUUUUGUACAGUGCUGUGGAUUCUCCCCUGAAGUUUCCCGUCACAAUGGAAGCCGAAUACCGCAAGCUGAAAGCCAACUUCGCAGCGCUGCGAAAUCAGCCUUUUGCUGCGAAGUGAUUUCGCAGCCCUUUUUGUGCUUCUACGAAAUCUCGUAGACCUCGUUUUCACCUGCGAAAUGGUCCUUAGUGCUUCCCGAUAUUUGUGACCGACACUUUUGGAUAUUUUGCUUCAGAUUUUUGAUAACUAAAUCCUCAUUUUCUCCUUGUAACCCACCAAUUAUAGGAUUUCUUAGUUAUUAAGUUUGGCAAAGGGGUGAAUAACCUUAGAUAUUUUGUUUUGUAAUUUUCUUUAUAUAUAGCUCUCGGGAGCUUGUUCUUAUAUAGAAUUAUGUAAUCCGACGGGAUAUAGAUUUAUAAAUAUAUAGAAUAUACAGAGCCUUGCUCUGUUUUUUCUUUCUCUUUCAUUUUCAUUUUCUUGCUAAUCAAACUCUGAAGAUUUUUCCUCAGAUGAUGAGAGGCUAGGCUCUUCGUCUCUUGGAGCUAAGGUAACCGGGUAAGUUUUCCACAUGCAUAAAUUGGAAGUUUUGUUGUUUUAGUUUUUAAUGAAGAGAAAGUGUGACCCGUUAAUGGUUUUUAUCUUUUUAGUUAACUUAAAACGCCUUUAAUUCACCUGAGCCAACACUUGGUAAGGCAAGUGAUCUCCGUCCAUGGAGAUGCACUAGUUUAUCUCUUGCGAGCUUUUGGUAGGUGGUUUGAAGGUAGGAUUUUCUAGAAUAGCCAACACUUGUUAAGAUUUUGGACUCCAAUGAGACAUCCAUUAGUUAUCUCUUGCGAGCUUUUGAUGGGUAAUCCAAGGUUAAAGAUCACCUUGAAUGACAAAUGCUAGGUGAGAGGCACGAGUCAUUGCAAGGUGCAUCAAUGAGAGGGAUUUAGUGUUUGAACCCAUUAAUGGGAAGUAUCUGUACAACACUGGUUAGAGAAUUAACUACAUGUUAAUUCUCUAAUGCGAGGAAAAGAAACAAGUGACCAGAACUCUCCUUUUUGUAUGAGGAAUCUGAGCCUAGUGAUCUGAAACUCCAAGAAACACUUUUCUUUGUAAGUAAAAUCAGUUGCUAUUUUUGGUUAGUUUAAAACCAAACUUUUUUCAUUCAAACAUCUUUAUGUUUUCUUUUAAAGCUAACCUUGAAAUGAAAAGGCACCAAUUCAGCUUUGAAUUAAUAUCAUUUGCAAAGUGAAAACCCAUCCCAGUGAACGAUCCUAGAGCCACUAUGCUAUAAUAGCUUUGUCUUUGCUAUCCUAGUAAAUGGUGUAAUAGGUUAUAAAUUUUGUUGAUUACUCCCUCAAUCAAGGAGCACCAGCUGGACACGAAUCAACUGAGACACCAAUUGGGCAUGAAUCACACCUUCACUCGGCAAACUAUGUUGGAUAGAGCUAACCUACUCCCUCACGAAAGCCACUCGUAGCAAUCUUUGUCUCUUUUGUUUGGAAUUGUAUUUUUCGUCAACGAGACCCCCAUGAAUGUAGUUGAUGAUAGCUCUAAGAGCUUCCGAAGUUGUGGACACUUGGAUAGCCAAAUCCCGGGUGGUUUCCCUUUGUCCUUCGAUUGAGCGGAUGUAUCAUUUUAAGUGCUUGGCCUUAAUUAGUCUUUCCACUAAGUAGUGGAAACUUCUGCAUUGUUUCGUGGUGUGGCCAUGAUCUUUGUGAUAGGCACACUUCCUGUUCUAAUCCCGUUUCGUCGAAUCUGUCUUAAUUGACUCUGGCCAUCUAAAAUCAGACAGAUCACAAAUCAUGGGAAGGAGUUUGUCGUAUGAAAUGCUAAGGGGGGUCAGACUAGCUUGGCUUGGCUGCUGCUGGUCGUCUCGCUUCUUGCUGACUUGCCUUAGUUGGUUUGAGAGCUUAGAAUUUUCGGCAUGAUCGUUCCUGGCGGAUCGACGAGUGACCAGGACCUGCUGUGUAGUCUUACAAACAUCGUCUUCAAGAUGGAGUACUUGUUUACUCGUUUGAAUAGGUCAUCCAUUGUCGCUGAUAGUUUCUUAACGAGAGAUUCGAAGAAAUGCGUACUCGGACAAAUGCUUCUUUUGAAGAUUUGUAGGAUGACGUCCAUGCUACAAGACUCUACUUGGAGCACGACCUGUCCGAACAGUUUCACAAACUCCCUCAAUGAUUCAUUUUCCUACAUUUUUAUGUUUUGCGGGGUACUUAUGUUCUAUUUGUCAUGCCGAGCAUAGGUAGUGUCCCACAAAGGCUUCUGAUAGAUCCUAGAAAUUACUCACAAAAUUCUUUAGGAGAUGGUGGAACUACGAAAGGGCCUAGCCAUGUAAGCUAGUUGGAAAGACUUUGCAUAAUAGCACAUCGUUCCCUAUGUUGAGGGUCAUGAGCUGCCUAUAAUGCAUGAUAUGAUCAAACAGAUCACUUGUUUCGUCAUAUGUCAUGAAUUUUGGUACCAUGAACCCUCUUGGGGGCUAGUAGUUGAUGAUGUAAAGGCUAAAAAGCAUGGAGAGCAUGUCACCCAAUCGUCUACUGACAGAGCCAAGCAGUCCUCGUUCUGUCAGAGCCCCUACUUGUUGUUAUGCUGGUGGACGAGAAGGCCAUUCUAGCAUGACCAUUGUAAUCGAGAAACCAAGGCAGGCUUCCUGGGUCGCUGCUACACAUGGUUUCCCUUCCAUGCCAGGUGUCUGAGGUCUUAGCCGAGCUCACAUUGUGUCUGAUAGUUGUGACCUUCUAUCACACCUCUUUUUUGUGGAGAUGUGGGUAGAGUCAGAGCUUUCAUCUAACAGUGCUUGGCAAGUUGGUAGAAACUUUUCUUUAGGUCGUAUCUCCUGGCUACCAGAGAUGAACUUUGCGUCCCUAAGAAAUGACAUUUUUUCGUUUUGUUUGGAGUUUGUUCACUGGCUCUUAGGCUGUCGGCUACGAGGGGGGCUUGACGAAGACACCUGGAUGCGUAACACUUCAAUUUCUUCUCUAAGUCUCCUUGUCUCACAGAGCAAGGACUGUACCUGUCGUUUGCUCUCUUGUUGGCGUCUUUCCAUGUUUUCACACUAGUCGAAGUAGCCAUCGCUACCCAUGGCUGAUGAUCGGCUCCUUGAGGGCGUCGACAUUCUUAACAUUUCCCACAAAUAGCACCAAUGUUGAUGCGAGGUUAACUGGAGUCAGAUCCGCCUUAUGUUGUGCCACUGAGAGCUUUUACCCAGCAACAAGGGACUAAGUGAGCUUUUUCCCUACACAAAGGAUGUCCGGACAAGGUGUCUGAGCACGCCCCUCUGAAGCUUAAGUCAGACACAGGUAGGUUAGAGCUUAUAGGGAGAAAAUGAAUAAACUAGCUUAGGUGUGCAUACCUGGGUUAUGCUUUAGGAAGACUUUUUAUAGUGCUCAAGAGAAAGUUAAUGUAGUGCUGAGUAGAUACUUUGACCUUCACUGUAAUAAUGGUUAUCCUGCAGGUGGCAGAGCAAUCAUUGCAGUUUAGGGCAACUAGCAAGUUCCAUCAAAUGAUGUGUCAUAAUGUAGCUGCCCAUCAUUUCAACCUUCUGGAGAUAUGAGGCAAUGUGUGAUAAUUUGUUGACAUCAAGGAUGAAAAUAUCGGUAAUUACGGAUAUAUCGAUAUUUCGAUUUUACGGAUAUAUCGAUAUUUCGAUUUUACGGAUAUAUCGGAAAUAUAUCGAUGGAUAUUUUGAUAUAAAAUAUUAGUAGACCUAAAAUUGACCAAAACUUAUAAAAAUAUAAAAUAAAACUUUUAGAAAUGAAAUUAAAAUAUAAUAGAUAUUUUAAAAUUAUUUUAUUAAAUAAAUUAAUGUAUAUAUAAUAUUGUACGUGUCAAUAAAAAAAUAUAAAUUUGAUAAGUGUAUAUUGAUUAUUAAAUUAUAUUAAAUAUUAUUUGAUCAUUAUAUUGUGAUAUUUGAUUAUAAUAUAUUUCGAUGGAUAUUUUAACACAAAAUAUCGGUAAAUCUAAAAUUGAUCAAAACUUAUAAAAAUAUAUUAAAAAAAACUUUUAAAAAUAAAAUUAAAAACAUAAUAGACAUUUUAAAGUUAUUUUUUCGAAUAAAUUGAUAUAUAUAUAUAUAUAUAUAUAUAUAUAUAUAUAUAUAUAUAAUAUUGUACAUGUUAAUAAAAAAUAUAAAUUUGAUAAGUGUAUAUUGAUUAUUGAAUUAUAUAAAAUAUUAUUUGAUGAUAAUAUUGUGAUUAUAAUAUGUUUAAUUUUAAAAUCUGUUUAAUAUUAAAAUAGUGAUAUAUUAUAAAAUAAAUGAUAAUAAAUAUAUAAAAUAUUAAUAUAUUAAUAAUAUUAAAAACUCUAUGAAUAAAAUUAUGAUAUUUUUUACUAAUCAAUUAAAUGAAAAUUUUUCAUUUAAUUAUAAAAUAGUCAUAAUUAAUUUGUUAUUUAAAGUGUUUUUUUAAUAUUUUAUUUAUAUUCUAAGUUUUAAUAUAUAUUUCUUUAGAGUGUCAUAUUUAUCAAAGAGCAUGUUUGCCCUAGUGGAACUGGGCCUGACAUAGAAAUCUUUUGUUGGGGGUUCGAAUCCCCCCAACAGCAGGAAGAAAAAAAGCUUAAUUUUGACCGUUGACCGCCUGUGUUGACCGAGCGUUGACCGGCGAUAUAUCUCUGCUGCACCCACCGACACACCGAUAUUUCGCCGAAAUAUCGCCUAAUUCCAAAGGGAAUGAUUACACGUAGCAAGGGAGUUCCGAGCACUGUGGCAAUUAUCUGGACAAUGCUGAGGGAAGUGACGCAUGGACUGACACGUGGAAGGUCCCUACAAUUACUACUCCUCAUUCACGUCUACCAAACAGGCCUUUGGGAUGAAAAUUAUAUACGUCAAUUCCAAGUUUCCAACCCAACACAAUUAUAUUAUUCACCUAAAUCACACUAAACCCAAUUUCCAUUUUUUUGGUGCAUCCAACCUGGAAUAUGUACAUUUUAAUGUAAUUCCUGCACAAAUGAGAAAAGUGAAUAAGCCAUCUUCCUCGACAUUCUUCUUGUAAAUUGAAGAGCAAGAUUUAUUUAUUUAUUUAUUUAUUUGCAUUUUAAAAACCAAUGUGAAAUUUGUCUUUUGAUUUUGAGCAUCCAUGAUGCCGAUAUGUACAUUUCAAUUACCACAUGAAGCAGGAAGUUCAAUCUUAAAUACCGAACAUCAAGCAGAAACCACUACACCCAGUAGAUGUAGAUUUUAAUAUUCAAUGGGUUCAUUCCAAUUGCCACAUUAUUUUCAGCAACCAGAACUCAAAAAAAGCCACACAAAUAACACGAUUAUAAGGAUAUGGGGGAUCGGAUACCUUAUUUUAUUUCCCAGUAUAAUUUUGAGACAAUCAAAUUCUGAGCUGCAGAGUCUGAAAUCCAAUAAAGGAGCUUUGGAGUCUAUGGUGGUGUACCGGGAUGAACCAUCACCUUCCAAAUUAAAAUUCUAGGGCUAUACCACAAACAGAAUUCUGAGAUGUAUUGGGUAUUACAUGAUGAAUAACCCAAGAAAACUAGUACCGUAGAAGAGCUUCAAAGGGAAGAGAAAAUGGGAACACCCGGCAGGGUUGCGCCUGCAUCGACAUUGAAAACGUUACCUGAUAUGUAUCGUGAAGAAUCAUGAAUCAAGUAUCGCACCAGGGAUGUCAAUGCAGGGUCCGAUGUUCCAUAGGCCCGCAAGGGGCAUGUUCUCUGAACCACAGUGUUGAGCCAGUCUUUUUGCAUAAGGCCCGCAGUUAUCUCCGAUUUGAAUAUUCCAGGUGCUAUUGCAUUCGCUCUAAUAUUGUAUGCCCCCAAUUCCAAAGCCAUUACCUGGAAUUGUUAUUAUUUGGAAAAAAAAUAAAUAAAUAAUCAUUCUUCAGUGCCAGACUCAGAUGAGUGUGUAGGAAUAAAGGUUCUACAACAUUUUUGCAUGGAAAAACAGUUGAAGAUGGCAGGAAAUAUACAAUAAAAUGUCGAAUCGAAAUAAGUAUAAUGCUAUAUAAACACAAGCCCUUAACCAGAUUUACAGAAAAUGACUUACAUCUUGGAUAGACAAACUGUACGUAUCAUGCAAAAGCGGAGAAUAAUAUUGGGAUUUUUUGCAUGGGAAGCAAGGUGAGAAGAAUAUUGACUUUUUGUACAUUGAUUUUUAUCUUCUCUUUUUAUACAUUUUAUAUACUCCUCAUGCUUAUUAAAAAAAAAAAAAGACAAAAAUAAUAUUAAAAAUUAAAAAUAAAAUAACAAGACAAGCAUAAUAUAGUGAACAUAAACAUUUGACUACAUUUUCACAAUAUAUUUAAAUCUAACGUUGAAUUUCCUAACUCACCUUUGUUUGCCAGAAUAUAUUAGAAACAAAUUUAAAACAUGUCAGAGAUAUUACCU